rfam:Colletotrichum orbiculare MAFF 240422 contig02369, whole genome shotgun sequence.
GCCGGCGUGGAGCAAUAGUAGCUUAUUGGCCUCCUAAGCCAAAGGUUGCGGGUGCAAGUCCCGUCGUCGGUG